AGACACUCCUGGGCGAUAUCUGCCACCCCAAUGAUCACCAGGGUUGACUCAGCUGGUCUGGCUGGCUGGACAGAGUCCCUCAUCCCUCACGCUCCAUAUACAUUCCUCCUCAAGCUGCACGCCCGGUCCAAGAGGACGACCUUCCCUAAUAGAGGAGAACCGUUCUUUGGUCAAGGCCUUACAAGUAGCUGCAAUUUUCCUGUUAGAACCUCUCAAUAAGCUCUCCAGGUCCCUUCGUAGGAGAACUUGGGUGGUCAAGCUUCCAAGACUCCAGACAUAUCCAAAUGAGGCACUGCAUGUGGCAAUCUGCCUUUCUUA
rnacentral:snRNA from 1 species